CUUGAGUUUGAGGCAAAAACAUCUUUAUUUGCAAGAGGAGCUAUCUCACACCUAACCAUGAGAAGCUCACAUUUAACCAUGGGAAGAGGUCUAGAAGGCGCAUGGCCAGUCAUGGGAAGUCCCUUAGGGUGCAUGGCUUAUUGUGAGAUGCAUUUGGUGGGGUUUUGGAGGCCAUGAGGGGCAUGGCUAGCCAUGAGAAGUCCUUUGGGGCAUAUGGCUUCUUGUGAG
rnacentral:misc_RNA from 1 species